rnacentral:rRNA from 1 species
UACAGAGGUCUCAAGCGUUGUUCGGAUUCAUUGGGCGUAAAGGGCGCGUAGGCGGCCAGCACAAGUCAGUUGUGAAAUCUCCGAGCUUAACUCGGAACGGUCAACUGAUACUGUGCGGCUAGAGUGCGGAAGGGGCAACUGGAAUUCUUGGUGUAGCGGUGAAAUGCGUAGAUAUCAAGAGGAACACCUGCGGCGAAGGCGGGUUGCUGGGCCGACACUGACGCUGAGGCGCGAAAGCCAGGGGAGCGAACGGG